UAUAUACUCCCUCCGUCCGGAAAUACUUGUCAACAAAAUGGAUAAAAGGGAUGUAUCUAGAUGUAUUUUAGUUUUAGAUACAUCCCUUUUUAUCCAUUUUGAUGACAAGUAUUUUCGGACGGAGGGAGUAUAAU
rnacentral:pre_miRNA from 1 species